AUGGAAAAAACCAAUGUGCCUAGCAAGCAAAAGACCUUGGCCCUGAGUCCGUCAGAAACCACUGGUGUGUGGCAGAUGCUACCCUUCUCUCCAUGUGGGAAGCCACGCUUUGGACGGCUAUGCUCUGGGACCUCCCUCCUGUCCACGCUGCCCUUGUUCAAGGCCUUUGUCCAUGUGGCAAAAUCAAUUAUGCAACUAAAGGAAAAUAAAAUCAGAGCUGUCAGUGUUCUGUGGCUACAACCGAAGCAGCCCAGCCUCGGAGUCCCACCCUGACCUAAGCCAGCUUGAAAAAGAGGGUCUGCCAUCUCGACACCAAAAAAGCAUUCAUUAACCAAGUAAAGCAACUUAACACAGAACAGCCAGUGAAUAAAUGAGUUCAAGGAACAAACGAAAACA
rnacentral:lncRNA from 1 species